AUUGAACGCUGGCGGCAGGCUUAACACAUGCAAGUCGAGCGAGCGGCGGACGGGUGAGUAAUGUCUGGGAAUCUGCCUGAUGGAGGGGGAUAACUACUGGAAACGGUUACUAAUACCGCAUACCAUCAGAUGUGCCCAGAUGGGAUUAGCUAGUAGGUGGGGUAAUGGCUCACCUAGGCGACGAUCCCUAGCUGGUCUGAGAGGAUGAACAGCCACACUGGGACUGAGACACGGUCCAGACUCCUACGGGAGGCAGCAGUGGGGAAUAUUGCACAAUGGGCGCAAGCCUGAUGCAGCCAUGCCGCGUGUGUGAAGAAGGCCUUAGGGUUGUAAAGCACUUUCAGCGGGGAGGCGUUACUCGCAGAAGAAGCACCGGCUAACUCCGUGCCAGCAGCCGCGGUAAUAC
rnacentral:rRNA from 1 species